GACGAACGCUGGCGGCGUGCUUAACACAUGCAAGUCGAACGGAAAGGCCCUGCUUUUGUGGGGUGCUCGAGUGGCGAACGGGUGAGUAACACGUGAGUAACCUGCCCUUGACUUUGGGAUAACUUCAGGAAACUGGGGCUAAUACCGGAUAGGAGCUCCUGCUGCAUGGUGGGGGUUGGAAAGUUUCGGCGGUUGGGGAUGGACUCGCGGCUUAUCAGCUUGUUGGUGGGGUAGUGGCUUACCAAGGCUUUGACGGGUAGCCGGCCUGAGAGGGUGACCGGCCAAAUUGGGACUGAGAUACGGCCCAGACUCCUACGGGAGGCAGCAGUGGGGAAUAUUGCACAAUGGGCGGAAGCCUGAUGCAGCAACGCCGCAUGCGGGAUGACGGCCUUCGGGUUGUAAACCGCUUUCGCCUGUGACGAAGCGUGAGUGACGGUAAUGGGUAAAGAAGCACCGGCUAACUACGUG
rnacentral:rRNA from 1 species